UACGGGGGGGUGCGAGCGUUGUCCGGAAUCACUGGGCGUAAAGGGCGCGUAGGUGGCUUUGUAAGUUUGCGGUGAAAGCCCGGGGCUCAACCCCGGGUCUGCCGUGGAUACUGCAAGGCUUGAGUACUGUAGAGGCAGGUAGAAUAUCGGGUGUAGCGGUGGAAUGCGUAGAGAUCCGAUAGAAGACCGGUGGCGAAGGCGGCCUGCUGGGCAGUAACUGACACUGAGGCGCGACAGCGUGGGGAGCAAACAGG
rnacentral:rRNA from 1 species